CAAAAAUCCAUCAAAUUGGAUAGUUAAUUAAGGGGAGAAAAAAUGAGGAGCCCUUCAGUUUUUUAAAUUAAUGAUAAAAUUAAUGCCUAAUUGUGUUUUCAAUAGUAUGCAUCCAAGCAAUGGCUACCAAAAUAAAAAGAAUAUGCUUUAGAAAGGGUCAAAACUUCAUUUCAUGAAAAUAUUAAUAUAAUAGAUAAAAAUAAGCUUCAAAAAUUAUAUGAAGAUGGAAUCAAAAACUUGGAUCUUUUACGAAGACAAGCCUUAAUAAAUCAGCUAU